rnacentral:rRNA from 1 species
UGGGGAAUAUUGCACAAUGGGCGCAAGCCUGAUGCAGCCAUGCCGCGUGUAUGAAGAAGGCCUUCGGGUUGUAAAGUACUUUCAGCGGGGAGGAAGGGAGUAAAGUUAAUACCUUUGCUCAUUGACGUUACCCGCAGAAGAAGCACCGGCUAACUCCGUGCCAGCAGCCGCGGUAAUACGGAGGGUGCAAGCGUUAAUCGGAAUUACUGGGCGUAAAGCGCACGCAGGCGGUUUGUUAAGUCAGAUGUGAAAGCCCCGGGCUCAACCUGGGAACGGCAUCUGAUACUGGCAGGCUUGAGUGACGUAGAGGGGGGUAGAAUGCCAGGUGUAGCGGUGAAAUGCGUAGAGAUCUGGAGGAAUACCGGUGGCGAAGGCGGCCCCCUGGACGAAGACUGACGCUCAGGUGCGAAAGCGUGGGGAGCAAACAGG